AAACCUAUAAUACAUCAACCAGCCUAAAUUGCUGUCCAAAAUGUUCAAUGAGAAUUGACACAUGGUAUAGUGUUCUAAGUAAUUCACCACUUACGUCCGGUUUUCCCCUCCCUUCUCUCUUUUUCAGGGAUGUCUUCACAGCCUUUCAAGUUUGAGAAGUUGUGAUUGAGACAGGUUAUAACUUGAUGUUUGAAGUCAAUCCUCAGGAGGCUUUUUAAAGAUUGCUGGGGUUCAACAUCUAGAUCCAACAUUUAAAACUGUGUGACAUUGGAGAGGUUGCCUAAUCAUUCUGAGCCUCAGUUUUUCCAUUGUUAAAAUGUAGAUGAUAUCAGCCCCUGCUGCAUAAGAUGCAUUUGUUAAAUGUGAGUGGAAUUACUCAGCUGUCUUUUGAUGUGGGUUCUCUUGGACUGGAGAGAAGGUCACUUAAUAUGAAGGCUUCUCUGCUCAAAGAUACCAACCCUCCCCCUGUCUCUACCAGUUGUCAAACUUCAGUGCAUGAGGCUUAGCUCAGUGGCACCGCACCUGCCUUGCAAGCUCAAGGUCCUGAGUUCAAUCCCUGGUCCUGGAAAAAAACACAACAACUUCAGUGCAUGAGGCUGGGGAUUUAGCUCAGUGGCACCACACCUACCUUGCAAGCUCAAGGUCCUGAGUUCAAUUCCUGGUCCUGGAAAAAAAACUUUAAUGCACAAUAAUCAAAGGGGCUUAUUUAAAACACACAUCUCUGGAACCCACCAGAAGGGAUUGUGAUCCUAUAGGACUGGGAAGUUCAGAAACUCACAAUCUUAACAAGCAUCCAGGUGAUCCUAAUGCAGAUGGCUCAUAGGCUACAACUAAAGAAAACACAGGAUUAGUGUCAUUCAAUAUAGGGAGAAGAAGGGCUACAGUUGUUUAUGUCAUAAUGGGAGCAAUAGCUCAGGAGAAGAAGAGAGGAGAAAUUUUGGACAUUGGACAUUCCUGGAGAGAAGAACCCCUAGACGGGACAGCGGCACCUUGUACAGCCAGAAAUAUCAGCUGGCCAAGGAGGGAUCAUGGUAGAGGUCCACGUUGCUUAAGGAAAAUCGGGGCUUUGUGAUGCCUCCACCAUGAUGAGAUAACUGAAUUGAAUGAUUUGGAAGACAUCCACCCAGUGUCAACAUAGUAUGAUCUGUUGGCUGAGAAAGGUCUAGAGGAAGCUCUGGUCUGCCUAGGGAAUUGACCAUCAUAACGAACAUCUCUGUCACUGUUCUUCAGUGAGGCAUCUGCCUAUCGGGUGUGCUUAAGCCUGAACCUUGUUAGGAC
rnacentral:lncRNA from 1 species